rnacentral:rRNA from 1 species
CUACGGAGGGUCCAAGCGUUAUCCGGAAUCAUUGGGUUUAAAGGGUCCGCAGGCGGUCAAUUAAGUCAGAGGUGAAAGCCCAUCGCUCAACGAUGGAACUGCCUUUGAUACUGGUUGACUUGAGUUAUACGGAAGUAGAUAGAAUAAGUAGUGUAGCGGUGAAAUGCAUAGAUAUUACUUAGAAUACCGAUUGCGAAGGCAGUCUACUACGUAUAUCCUGACGCUGAGGGACGAAAGCGUGGGGAGCGAACAGGAUUAGAAACCCUAGUAGUCC